GUUCAUUUGUGCCCACCUCGCUGUUUCUUGCUUUCUUGCAAUGGGGAGGGAGGACCCACUUCGUUCUCGCCCUUCUCCAGCAAAUCCCUGAGAUCUGAACGGCGUGAAAGUGUGGAGCCUGGAUGUUCUGCUUGGCAUUCAGAAUUUACUGAUGCAGGCGCCAGCAAGAGUCCUCCAGGCAGCAAGUCCACUGACAGGUACAAUGCGUGUAGUAGUCGAUCAAGAAGCAGCGAGGAGGAUGUUUCAUAGCACAGAUCGAGGAAGAUAAGUCGCAGUAGUCGUGAUUCGUGAUUGAGGCAGCUGAAUAUCUGGGCAUCUGGCCACGGGCAACUCUGGGUUUUGGACGAUAGAAUGCCGCACAGAUGGCACUACCUCAUGUAGUAGUCAUUUGCCAGCCUUGUUUUGUACUGCUUUUUCCCCUUUCCUCUUUGCUGA